rnacentral:rRNA from 1 species
GACGAACGCUGGCGGCGUGCUUAACACAUGCAAGUCGAACGGAAAGGCCCUCCUUUGGGGUACUGCAGUGGCGAACGGGUGAGUAACACGAGAGGAAUCUACCCUCGACGUUUGGAUAAUAUCAGGAAACAGGGGCUAAUACCGGCUAGGAGCUCCUGCUGCAGGGUGGGGGGGGGAGAGAUUCGGCGGCUGGGGAUGGACUCGCGGCUUAUCAGCAUGUUGGUGGGGUAGUGGCUCACCAAGGCUUUGUCGGGUAGCCGGCCUGAGAGGGUGACCGGCCACAUUGGGACUGAGAUACGGCCCAGACUCCUACGGGAGGCAGCAGUGGGGAAUAUUGCACAAUGGGCGGAAGCCUGAUGCAGCAACGCCGCGUGCGGGAUGACGGCCUUCGGGUUGUAAACCGCUUUCGCCUGUGGCGAAGCGUGAGUGACGGUAAUGGGUAAAGAAGCACCGGCUAACUACGUG